AAGCCUUGGGGGAGAGUAGUAAUUGGAUGGGUGACCUCCUGGGAAGUCCUUGUGUUGCACCCC
rnacentral:rRNA from 1 species